rnacentral:rRNA from 1 species
AACGAACGCUGGCGGCAUGCCUAACACAUGCAAGUCGAACGAAGCCUUCGGGCUUAGUGGCGCACGGGUGCGUAACGCGUGGGAAUCUGCCCUUUGGUUCGGAAUAACAGUUGGAAACGACUGCUAAUACCGGAUGAUGACGAAAGUCCAAAGAUUUAUCGCCAGAGGAUGAGCCCGCGUAGGAUUAGCUAGUUGGUGUGGUAAAGGCGCACCAAGGCGACGAUCCUUAGCUGGUCUGAGAGGAUGAUCAGCCACACUGGGACUGAGACACGGCCCAGACUCCUACGGGAGGCAGCAGUGAGGAAUAUUGGACAAUGGGCGAAAGCUUGAUACAGCAAUGCCGCGUGAGUGAUGAAGGCCUUAGGGUUGUAAAGCUCUUUUACCCGGGAUGAUAAUGACAGUACCGGGAGAAUAAGCGCCGGCUAACUCCGUGCCAGCCGCCGCCGUAA